AGAGUUUGAUCAUGGCUCAGAUUGAACGCUGGCGGCAUGCUUUACACAUGCAAGUCGAACGGCAGCAUGGGCUUCGGCCUGAUGGCGAGUGGCGAACGGGUGAGUAAUGCAUCGGAACGUGCCCAGUCGUGGGGGGACAACUAGUCGAAAGAUUAGCUAAUACCGCAUACGACCUGAGGGUGAAAGUGGGGGAUCUUCGGACCUCACGCGAUUGGAGCGGCCGAUGUCAGAUUAGCUAGUUGGUGGGGUAAGAGCCUACCAAGGCGACGAUCUGUAGCGGGUCUGAGAGGAUGAUCCGCCACACUGGGACUGAGACACGGCCCAGACUCCUACGGGAGGCAGCAGUGGGGAAUUUUGGACAAUGGGGGCAACCCUGAUCCAGCCAUGCCGCGUGCGGGAAGAAGGCCUUCGGGUUGUAAACCGCUUUCGGACAGAAAGAAAUCGCACAGGUUAAUACCUUGUGUGGAUGACGGUACUGUAAGAAGAAGCACCGGCUAACUACGUGCCAGCAGCCGCGGUAAUACGUAGGGUGCGAGCGUUAAUCGGAAUUACUGGGCGUAAAGCGUGCGCAGGCGGAUUGUUAAGCAAGAUGUGAAAUCCCCGGGCUUAACCUGGGAAUGGCAUUUUGAACUGGCAGUCUAGAGUGCGUCAGAGGGGGGUGGAAUUCCACGUGUAGCAGUGAAAUGCGUAGAGAUGUGGAGGAACACCGAUGGCGAAGGCAGCCCCCUGGGAUGACACUGACGCUCAUGCACGAAAGCGUGGGGAGCAAACAGGAUUAGAUACCCUAGUAGUCC
rnacentral:rRNA from 1 species